ACUCGGUCCAUUUCUAUUUAUCUCUUCUUUCAUCUCUGCUGUUUCUCUCUGUUUCCUUCAUCUCGUUUUCUUCUCUUUCUGAAACGAGCCAUCAUCCUCGUUUCUGGUUUGCUAUCUCUCCCAAAUUAAAUCAGUUCAUUUGCUAUUUCUCUUCUGAAACCGAUUCAUUAUCUUCUCUGCCUUUUUCUUUUUCCAUCUAGCACUUACAGAGUCCAUGCUUAUGCUAUCUAUGACUCGAUUUUAGGGAAACAAGCAAUGAACAUAUUUCAGUUGUCCAUUGCUAAUGUUAAUCAUAUCUGAGAUUCUCUCUCUGUUUUUGUUCUUCCUACGGUCUACUUAAAUCUAAUUCCUUAAUUUCUUCCCAAGAAAUCCUCAUCUUAAAAAUUGUAAUCCGUCUUGGGAGUGCGGAUUUGGAUUUGGGCGGCCGGAGAUGCACCGCCGACGAUACGAGAGCUGCCGUUAUCACCGCCAUAAACCACUCCAGCUUCUCUAGCCGGAAGCCCUCUCUGAGCCCACUGGUUCCGAACCCUCGCUAUUAUUCCAAGUCCGACGAGAGCCUUCUCUGAGUCAUCGACGCCGAGAUUCAUUGUGCUGAGGGGAGAGAGAGAGAGAGAGAGAGAGAGAGCAGGUUGCCUAGUAGUCCCAUCACUCUGUCUAAAGAUCUGGGUAAUUUUCGUCCCAAGAAAUUCUCAAAGUAAACAUCGUAAUCCAAACAACAACAUUUGAAAUCAAUAAAUUCUGAAUCCUAGAAAUUAUAAAUCUGAAAAUUAAUCUAAAUCCAAAUUCAAAUUCAGUAUCCAAACGGUGCCUGAAGAAAGAUUUGAAAUCUUCUUGACAUAUCGAGGGAACCUCACCUCUUAAUUGAAACUUUUAAAAUACAAAUCAAUAUCAUCGUUUUCCAUAUUAAUCUCGAUCAGUAGUGGAAUUUGAUUGGCAGAAAUAAUCUCCAUGCUAAAAGAGUCCGGAGAGAAAGGAAAGAGACCAAACAAAAUAUGCUCGGGAGGAUGAUGGUUUUCAGAUGUUUCAGAAGGGGAAGAUAAGUCAGACCCAACAAGAAAAAAGAGGAGGAAACAGAGGGAGAGAUCAAGAUGAGAGAUGAUGAGAUCGAAAAAGUUACCACUAGGCUACCGGGAACAGGCUAAUCCGUUCCCACCUACAUUUCCUCAUACUAAACUGACACGUGCUGAUCACGUGGCUGGGCCCAUACAACCCGAGCACUCCAAACUCGAAGCACGGAAGACGUUCUCUCUUAUUAUGCUUUUUUUUAUGUUUUGGUUUUGUCUUGGUCUGUUGAAGAAGACAAACAUGUAGCUCUUUGGUCAUCAAUUUCCCCUUUCUUAUUUGACUUUCACUUUGAGAGAAAACCCACCGAGCUCGUUUUGAUUUCAAGAGCAGCAGAGCCAAAUUUUCAAGGACUCUCUCUGCUCACAUUUUUGUUAUGGUAGUUUGACAGGGAAGCCCUUUUGCUUUUUUUUUUAGCUGUCAAGGCUUCUGGAAGGAGUCGUUUCUCUUCUUAUUUGCUUCAUGGACAAUGGUCAUGACUCAUGAACAUGGCAUGGCGCAUCUGAAAGAAGAGGUGCCUGCUUCGUCAGCAGCAGUAGCAACUUGCACCAGAAACAAUUGUGUUGGCGUGAGUGCAGGCAAGAGCUUUGGUGGAGCUUGUUUUCGUUGAAGCUCCGUUGACACUCUGUUUACUGCUGCAAGGCUUUUAAAAAAAUUCCACCGGAUUGGUCAUACACCCGUUGAUACACAUGUAUCGUAAACGAGAUUGCGACCGCUCCGGGGACCUCCAUAGCUCCAUGGUGACACAGGUAAAAGAGACGCUACAUUUAUUUGCUAGGAGAGCACCAUCAUUUGUUGAAGCAGCAACCCUUCACUAGGAGAGCUCCACCAUCAGUCCUUCACUGGGAGAGCAUCACCAUCAGUCCUUCACUGGGAGAGCACCAUCAUUUGUUGACGUAGUGGUCCUUCACCAGGAGAGCACCUCAUGGGGAUGGUGUUGUGGUUUUGAUGCGUGCCAGAGAGACUAUUCUGGGUAGCAGCUUGACUUCUCCGUGAUUGCCGAUGUGGUAAUCGCCUUGGUCACCAGCAGGAGAUUAUGAGGAUGGAAGCAACAUAGAUACUCCAGAGAGAUUUUUGGCCUUGCUUCAUGGAUCUUAACACUUGACAAUGUCUGCACCAUGAAAGGAAAAGUUCAGUAAUUUCAGGUGAUAAUCAUUAUAUACCUGUGACUUAUGGAGCUUCUUCUACUGAAACGCGGUCCUCCGUCCGUGGCUUCUCUUGGAAAGCUUUAAGGAUGGAAUGUUGUAGGACUCCGGUCUUGUGUGAACUCUCUCUUUUUUGUUCUCCUCUCUCUUGUGUGCCUCCGUGCUGCUGGCUUCUGCUCUUUAAUGUUGCAGAGCUUUCACUUCUUUUUUUGUUCUGCUCUCUAGCCUCUUUCUCCUCCUGCCCCCCGCUUUUUUGCUUGUGAGGUUGAGCCUUUUUAUAGGCAGCUGAGAACCCAAACAGUUGGUUGGAGAUGAGGAUAACAUGCUAUUUAAAUUCAAAUUUGAAGCUAUAAUCUGUCACUUUGAAGAUGAUCACAGCAGCAACAAAACUCCAAUUUUCACGUUGGAAGCUUGAACUUUUGUUUAUUCAAAUUUUGGAUAGGUACAAAUCUCUUUCAUCAUGACUCGGUCUCGAGUUUGUAAGAA